UGAGGAAUAUUGGUCAAUGGGCGAGAGCCUGAACCAGCCAAGUAGCGUGAAGGAUGACUGCCCUAUGGGUUGUAAACUUCUUUUAUAAAGGAAUAAAGUCGGGUAUGCAUACCCGUUUGCAUGUACUUUAUGAAUAAGGAUCGGCUAACUCCGUGCCAGCAGCCGCGGUAAUACGGAGGAUCCGAGCGUUAUCCGGAUUUAUUGGGUUUAAAGGGAGCGUAGAUGGAUGUUUAAGUCAGUUGUGAAAGUUUGCGGCUCAACCGUAAAAUUGCAGUUGAUACUGGAUAUCUUGAGUGCAGUUGAGGCAGGCGGAAUUCGUGGUGUAGCGGUGAAAUGCUUAGAUAUCACGAAGAACUCCGAUUGCGAAGGCAGCCUGCUAAGCUGCAACUGACAUUGAGGCUCGAAAGUGUGGGUAUCAAACAGGAUUAGAUACCCUGGUAGUCCACACGGUAAACGAUGAAUACUCGCUGUUUGCGAUAUACAGCAAGCGGCCAAGCGAAAGCGUUAAGUAUUCCACCUGGGGAGUACGCCGGCAACGGUGAAACUCAAAGGAAUUGACGGGGGCCCGCACAAGCGGAGGAACAUGUGGUUUAAUUCGAUGAUACGCGAGGAACCUUACCCGGGCUUAAAUUGCAGAUGAAUUACGGUGAAAGCCGUAAGCCGCAAGGCAUCUGUGAAGGUGCUGCAUGGUUGUCGUCAGCCCGUGCCGUGAGGUGUCGGCUUAAGUGCCAUAACGAGCGCAACCCUUGUUGUCAGUUACUAACAGGUUCUGCUGAGGACUCUGACAAGACUGCCAUCGUAAGAUGUGAGGAAGGUGGGGAUGACGUCAAAUCAGCACGGCCCUUACGUCCGGGGCUACACACGUGUUACAAUGGGGGGUACAGAGGGCCGCUACCACGCGAGUGGAUGCCAAUCCCCAAAACCUCUCUCAGUUCGGACUGGAGUCUGCAACCCGACUCCACGAAGCUGGAUUCGCUAGUAAUCGCGCAUCAGCCACGGCGCGGUGAAUACGUUCCC
rnacentral:rRNA from 1 species